UAGGAGCUUCCAAAAUCACCAAUGGAAGAUGAAGAGGAGGAGAGAGUACGAGGAAAAAGAAGAACAUGUGGACCAAAGCAUUUUGAUUGGUUAAGGUUAGGAUGUGAGCCAUGUAUGUAGUUGAAUUGUGGUUGGUUUUUAAUUGAGGAAUAAAUGGACAAAAGCUAGUUUAGGGAGUGCAACAAUAAAGGGGUAGGAUGAAUAGGGUUGGGGUAAUAAGCUUGAGUUUAGGAGGGUAUGGGGUAUAUGGAGUUAAGCUCUCAUAUUUAGCCUCGUUUGACCCAUAUAUCUAGCGAGUUUCGCUCGUGUAUCGAUUACCGUUUUACGAUGCUCACGUGAAGGAGAGAUUCACAUUUUUCCUCAGAUAUCAGGGUCUCAUGUGCCAGCGCUGAACCGCCGGAAGCCGUACACCUUUGAGGAAGAGAAUCUUAACUGUGGCCAAUAGGUUAAGACCCACCGAGAUACCAAGGUGAAGCCUUGAGACCAAUCGACACGAAGUCGCUCACCCAACAACCGAGGGGACACGCAGGUAAGAACCCACCCUCCACCACCGGAUAGGUGAACCGUCACUCCUCCUCUCCAAACACAGUGACACCGAUGAAAAAGGAACCAGCUUGACAAGUCCUAAACAUUGACUUCCAACCGUACCUCCGCCUCUCCAGCUGCCAGCUGCCAGCUGCCACACCAACGAGUCGCCCAAACCGCCGGAUCUAGCCGCGGACCAUCACCAGCGUAUCUCAACCACCAGGGUAACAUACAUAUCGGAAAGAGCAAAAUAAAAAGGAAAAGAACCCUCCGGAUACAGAGAGACAGCAGCACACGCCAGAGGUUACCAGAGAUGCUGACUGAAACAUUUGGAGACAUGUUGUUUGCUCCUCCUCUUGGAGAAUGCUUAAAGGAACUCCCAUCUCCCGAGUUUUUGAAAAAACGUAUUCUCAUGUCAACCAACCCUCCCAAAGAGUAUAAGGAAUCAAAGCAUGAGCAUGUUGUGAAGAAAGAAUUUUUCAGAUGGAGAUGUGGAUGAAGAUGACGACGAGGAAGACGAUGAUGAAGUACAUAAGGUUAAGAAGAGUGAACCCCGGAAUAUAAGUUUUAGUAUAUAAAUAUUGAAAAAUACACUGAUAUUUAUUAAUAACUGAU